rnacentral:rRNA from 1 species
UACGUAGGUGGCGAGCGUUGUCCGGAAUUACUGGGUGUAAAGGGAGCGCAGGCGGGAGAGCAAGUCAGCUGUGAAAACUAUGGGCUUAACCCAUAAACUGCAGUUGAAACUGUUUUUCUUGAGUGGAGUAGAGGUAGGCGGAAUUCCGAGUGUAGCGGUGAAAUGCGUAGAUAUUCGGAGGAACACCAGUGGCGAAGGCGGCCUACUGGGCUCUAACUGACGCUGAGGCUCGAAAGUGUGGGGAGCAAACAGGAUUAGAAACCCCUGUAGUCC